rnacentral:rRNA from 1 species
GACAGAGGUGCCGAGCGUUAGGCGGAAUCACUGGGCUUAAAGCGUGUGUAGGCGGAUUUGUAAGUACCUUGUGAAAUCCCACGGCUCACCCGUGGAACUGCUCGGUAUACUGGUCGUCUUGAGCCUUCUAGGGGCGAGUGGAACAAAUGGUGGAGCGGUGAAAUGCGUAGAUAUCAUUUGGAACGCCAAUGGUGAAAACAACUCGCUGGGGAAGUGCUGACGCUGAGACACGAAAGCCAGGGGAGCGAACGGG